AGUGAACGCUGGCGGUAGGCCUAACACAUGCGAGUCGAACGGCAGCACAGGAGAGCUUGCUCUCUGGGUGGCGAGUGGCGGACGGGUGAGGAAUACAUCGGAAUCUGCCCAGUCGUGGGGGAUAACGUAGGGAAACUUACGCUAAUACCGCAUACGACCUUCGGGUGAAAGAGGGGGAUCGCAAGACCUCUCGCGAUUGGAUGAGCCGAUGUCGGAUUAGCUAGUUGGCGGGGUAAUGGCCCACCAAGGCGACGAUCCGUAGCUGGUCUGAGAGGAUGAUCAGCCACGCUGGAACUGAGACACGGUCCAGACUCCUACGGGAGGCAGCAGUGGGGAAUAUUGGACAAUGGGCGCAAGCCUGAUCCAGCCAUACCGCGUGGGUGAAGAAGGCCUUCGGGUUGUAAAGCCCUUUUGUUGGGAAAGAAAUCUUUCAGGCUAAUACCCUGGGAGGAUGACGGUACCCAAAGAAUAAGCACCGGCUAACUUCGUG
rnacentral:rRNA from 1 species